rnacentral:rRNA from 1 species
ACGAACGCUGGCGGCAGGCCUAGCACAUGCAAGUCGAACGCUCGUAGCAAUACGAGAGUGGCAGACGGGUGAGUAACACGUGGGAACCUUCCCUAUGGUUCGGAAUAGCCCAGGGAAACUUGGGGUAAUACCGGAUAAGCCCUUCGGGGGAAAGAUUUAUCGCCAUUGGAUGGGCCCGCGUCGGAUUAGCUAGUUGGUGAGGUAACGGCUCACCAAGGCGACGAUCCGUAGCUGGUCUGAGAGGAUGAUCAGCCACACUGGGACUGAGACACGGCCCAGACUCCUACGGGAGGCAGCAGCGGGGAAUAUUGGACAAUGGGCGCAAGCCUGAUCCAGCCAUGCCGCGUGAGUGACGAAGGCCUUAGGGUUGUAAAGCUCUUUUGGCGGGGACGAUAAUGACGGUACCCGCAGAAUAAGCUCCGGCUAACUACGU